CCCUCCUCUAGCCAACAAACAGACUCCACUCACAUUGCCGCUGCCUGUAUGUGACUCCGGAGUCUGGCCUCUGGCAUAUCCCAAAUGGCACCGUCCGCACCGAGUGCCAAAGCGGAUCUUCUCACUCCUUGAAACCCUGUGAAGGUGGAGCACGUCGUCGUCACGUCAGAAUGUGACUUGGCGUUGCAUCCUCCGUGCACCUCCAGGUACUCCACUGUCCAGCCACAGCCAUCGCAACAAUGACGACACACACACACAAUCAGUGACAGACACACACACACACAGACACUUAUUUACUGACAGACACACACAGACAUUUACACAUUCUUGCACACACUAACAUCAUUCCCUGGGGUCCAGUGGGGAUCUUCUAAAAGGAGAUUUCCUUCCUGCUCCUCACUGCUCCCUCGCGCACAGGUUAGGGAUACCGGGUGCCGAAAUAUGAUGUCAUAUUCUGGCACCCGGUAUCACUACAGAGGGCGUGCGUGAGGGAGCAGGAAGACUGAGCUCCUCCAGCAACCUCUCCCCCCGGCCAGGUAAACUUUAGCAGAGCAGGCACCUGCAAAUUAGAGAAAGCAGGUGCCUACUCUCUUUAACACUAAGCAUGUCUCAAACUCGCGGCAAGCUUGACCUAAAACAUUGCAGUUUCAGAGAAACUGCAGUGCUUACAUUGCAGGGUUAAUACAGCCUCUAGUGGCUAUCUUCCAGACAGCCACUAUGAGGCAUUUCCUGCAUUUUUGUAAAGUUUAACUCGGUGAAACAAUGUUGGACAUCCUCAUGUUUUGCAUGAGGACAGCCAGUGUCUAAAAAAACUCCCUAUAGGAAAGCACUGAUUCAAUGCUUUCCUAUGGGAAAGUUCUAAUGUGCAUGCCGUGAUUGCUGGGCAUGCGCAUUAGGUCCUCCAUCAGUGUGACAUCCUUA